AAGGAAAGAUAACACUUUAGAACAGUUUCCUUGAAAAAAUAUCAAGGAAAGAAGCAUCAAAAGAUAAUGGAUUUCUCCAUUAGGAGAAGAACGAACUUGAAUAAGAUUUAGUUUGUUGGAUGUUAUCAAUUACCCAUAUAUAGGAUAUAUGCUUCUAAGACAAUAUGAUUGUCAAUUAGAAGAUCUUCCAAAAUUUUCAUGACUCCAUAGGAUGUAGUUGGAAAGAAAGACAAGUCUUAAUUGUAUUAAGAUUUGGGGUUGGGUGCUAAUAAGCAAUAUUUGUUUGAGAAUUAUCUUGUGGGUAUCCUUAAAUUAACAUUUGGAUAUCACUUCUAUAAACCAACUAACAAAUGUUGUUUGUUGGAUAGUUCAUUAUAAUCCUACCAAAGGAUUUGCCUAAGAUAGAGCAAAUGAACGAGAGAUAGAACUCAAAGAAUGGGUUCUUUGAGAGACAAGAUGAUAACCAACAAAUAUAACAACCUAGUUCCUAUACCACAAGCUCCAAGGUAGUCGAGAAUGAUUUAUAAACUGUCUCAGUUGAAUGGUUUGAACUUUAUGACUAUGUCAUAGAGUUACACCUCUUAAUUCGAAAGAAAUAAGAAUGAAAAUCCUCAUGACUACAUCGAGUGCAUAUGUGACAUAUACUCAAGGAAAUGGUAAAGUACCAUUUGACCCGAAAUAAUGAAACCAUUAUAGCAAAUUGGUAGCUUAAGGUGACUACAAUCAAAGAGAUUGGUUGACUUUGAAGAAACCAUUUUUGACGUAGUCUUGGUUUCAAUUAAUUCGAAGAUAGCUAGCUACAACUAAAUGGUGAUUCAAUGUUUGGACAUAAUAUGGGUUUCCAAAACCAUUAUUAAGAUAGUCUUGAUAAUAUAUGUCUAAAACUAUGAAUCACAAGACAUGUAAGUUGUAGAGAUCCAUCAAUCAUGGAUCUUAGCAAGCUAGUGGGAGCUAUAAGCGUCUUAUGAGAGAAAGAUCAAAUUGUUUGAUUUCUCAUAAAAAUGUAAAUGAAUCUUUUGUUUACUAGGUUUACAAAAGAUUAGUGGGAGUUAAUCAUGUUCCUAAAUUUGAAUAUAUAUAUAUAUAUACACAUAUAUGAUAUAUUAAUUUUGGAAAUGAAAAGAAUACUUCUUCGUUAAGGUUAUGACUUUAAACAUUCUAUAACGAUAGAAUGUAUAUGGGAGACAUUGUCUAUAAACAUGGGAUGUAAAUCUAUAAUGAUAGAUUUCAAGAUAUAAUUUGAUUAUAUCAAUCCCUAAUAAUAGACAAAAGAUGUUAAGAGGUUUCUCAUAUGAUGAUAAACUUCAAUUAGAAGAACAACUCUAGUGAGACUAGGAGGUAGCUCUUCUCAAAGGGAACGUACCCUUUGACUCCCAAAAGAAAUAAUGCGUAAAUAGAAUCCUUUAUGCAUACGCAGAAAGGUGAUUUAUGUAUUUCAUAUUGUAUGAAAACAUUGAUAUGAGUUGUACCUAAAAAGGUACAAGACGAUAUCAGUGCAAGCCCAAGCCUAGGAUCAGAACCAUGGCAACUGUCAAGUGAGUCAUUAAGUAUUUAAGAAAUACUAAAGGAUAGAUUCCUCAAAGAAUGAGGAAGAAUUAGAGUAACGUAAAGGAAGCGUAAAUGUAUUAGAUUAUGAAUCCAAUCCAUCAUUGGAUGUUUCUUCAUUAUGAAUGAAGAGAUAAUCAGAUAUCUCUUUAUUAUGACUAAAGAGAUAUUUGGAUGGAAACAUUAAAAGUAAUGACUUUAGUGUGUUCCAUUAUGAAUGCAAAUAUAUUGCCAUAUAGAAGCUUACAAACAAUGUUGUUUGGAUGGGAAAGUUCAUUCAUGAACUCUCUAUUCGGUUCCAACUAGAAAGUGUCUCUAGUGUACUGAUACUACGACACUAAUGGGGCGAUAGCUCAAGCCAGGGAAUCAAGGUCUCAUCAA
rnacentral:lncRNA from 1 species